rnacentral:rRNA from 1 species
CCUACGGGUGGCAGCAGUGGGGAAUAUUGCACAAUGGUGGAAACCCUGAUGCAGCGACGCCGCGUGAGCGAUGAAGUAUUUCGGUAUGUAAAGCUCUAUCAGCGGGGAAGAAAAUGACGGUACCUGACUAAGAAGCUCCGGCUAACUACGUGCCAGCAGCCGCGGUAAUAUGGAGGGGGCAAGCGUUAUCCGGAUUUACUGGGUGUAAAGGGAGCGUAGACGGCUUGGCAAGCCAGAGGUGAAAGGCUGGGGCUCAACCCCAGGACUGCAGUUGGAACUGUCAUGCUUGAGUGUCGGAGAGGCAGGCGGAAUUCGUAGUGUAGCGGUGAAAUGCGUAGAUAUUAGGAGGAACACCAGUGGCGAAGGCGGCCUGCUGGACGAUGACUGACGUUGAGGCUCGAAAGCGUGGGGAGCAAACUGGAUUAGAUACCCCUGUAGUC